UACGAAGGGGCUAGCGUUGUUCGGAAUUACUGGGCGUAAAAGGGCGCGUAGGCGGCGUGUCAAGUCAGGCGUGAAAGCCCCGGGCUCAACCUGGGAACCGCGCUUGAGACUGGCAUGCUCGAGUUCGGGAGAGGAUGGUGGAAUUCCCAGUGUAGAGGUGAAAUUUCGUAGAUAUUGGGAAGAACACCGAUGGCGAAGGCAGCCAUCUGGACCGACACUGACGC
rnacentral:rRNA from 1 species